UUGAUACGUGCAUGGCAACAUGUUUGAAAUUGUGUGCAAGUCGCUUUAAAACCGCACACGCCGUUGCUUUCUCUCAGCAGCUGCUCGCGUUUGCGCAAAAACGAGACGCGUUGAUAAUAGCUCGAUAAAGGAGAAUUUAAAUACCUAUUAAAACUAAGGAUUAUGACUUCGCGGACGAAUACACGAACGUUCGUUUCUCAGACGGCAGACGCAAUAAAAACGUCUAGCUCGAUUGUAAAUACAGUGGUUGGUGUUUAAACAUCCGGAUUCCCGUGACACGAGGGAUCCGCAGCGUCUUUUUGGUCGAGUCACGAACAAAGGAAAGGGCCUGAGAUGUGGCAACAAGGGAAACCUUUCGGAAAGGAUACACCAUAGUGGCGAUCAUGGUGGCUAAGCACGAUGCCUUUCGUCCUCCAAAAAACAUCUGUCGGAAGACAGACCUGCAUAAACGCACGUUUCGCCUCUUUCUUUGCUAACACCGGCUGGUGCCCCACGAAAAAUACCAUCGCUUCGUAAAUGCUAUUCACCGAGAAACUU